rnacentral:rRNA from 1 species
GAUGAACGCUGGCGGCGUGCCUAACACAUGCAAGUCGAGCGUGAUUGUUAUGAGUGGAGACUUCGGUUGAAGCGAGUAACAUGAAAGCGGCGGACGGGUGAGUAACGCGUGGGCAACCUGCCGCAUACAAAGGGAUAGCCACUGGAAACGGUGAUUAAUACCUUAUAAGUCGGUAGCAUCGCAUGAUGUAGUCGACAAAGAUUUAUCGGUAUGGGAUGGGCCCGCGUCUGAUUAGCUAGUUGGUGAGGUAACGGCUGACCAAGGCGACGAUCAGUAGCCGACCUGAGAGGGUGAUCGGCCACACUGGAACUGAGACACGGUCCAGACUCCUAUGGGAGGCAGCAGUGGGGAAUAUUGCACAAUGGGCGCAAGCCUGAUGCAGCAACGCCGCGUGAGUGAAGAAGGCCUUCGGGUUGUAAAACUCUGUCCUAUGGGAAGAAACAAAUGACGGUACCAUAGGAGGAAGCCCCGGCUAACUACGUGCCAGCAGCCGCCGUAAUAC